rnacentral:tRNA from 1 species
AGUGGGUCGGAGGUUCGAAUCCUCUCUCGCCGACCAAUUUUGAACCCCGCUUCGGCGGGGUUUUUUGUUUUCUGUGC